GUGCUUACCUGGCAGGAGAGGUGCCAUGAUCAUGAAGGUGGUUUUCCUGGGGUGCAGCUUGUCCAUCGCACGCUGGAUGUGCUGACUCCAGCAAUUUCCCCAAGUGUGGGAUACCUGGCUGCAUGAUUUGUGGUAGUGGGGAACUGCGUUUGGGCUUUACCCUA